UCGAGCGGAUGAGUGGAGCUUGCUCCAUGAUUCAGCGGCGGACGGGUGAGUAAUGCCUAGGAAUCUGCCUGGUAGUGGGGGAUAACGUUUCGAAAGGAACGCUAAUACCGCAUACGUCCUACGGGAGAAAGUGGGGGAUCUUCGGACCUCACGCUAUCAGAUGAGCCUAGGUCGGAUUAGCUAGUUGGUGGGGUAAUGGCCCACCAAGGCGACGAUCCGUAACUGGUCUGAGAGGAUGAUCAGUCACACUGGAACUGAGACACGGUCCAGACUCCUACGGGAGGCAGCAGUGGGGAAUAUUGGACAAUGGGCGAAAGCCUGAUCCAGCCAUGCCGCGUGUGUGAAGAAGGUCUUCGGAUUGUAAAGCACUUUAAGUUGG
rnacentral:rRNA from 1 species